UACGGGGGGGGCAAGCGUUGUUCGGAAUUACUGGGCGUAAAGGGCUCGUAGGCGGCCAACUAAGUCAGACGUGAAAUCCCUCGGCUUAACCGGGGAACUGCAUCUGAUACUGGAUGGCUUGAGUUCGGGAGAGGGAUGCGGAAUUCCAGGUGUAGCGGUGAAAUGCGUAGAUAUCUGGAGGAACAUCGGUGGCGAAGGCGGCCUUCUGGACAGUGACUGACGCUGAGACGCGAAAGCGUGGGGAGCGAACGGG
rnacentral:rRNA from 1 species